rnacentral:rRNA from 1 species
AGUGAACGCUGGCGGUAGGCCUAACACAUGCAAGUCGAACGGCAGCACAGUAAGAGCUUGCUCUUACGGGUGGCGAGUGGCGGACGUGUGAGGAAUACAUCGGACUCUACUUUUUCGUGGGGGAUAACGUAGGGAAACUUACGCUAAUACCGCAUACGACCUACGGGUGAAAGCAGGGGAUCUUCGGACCUUGCGCGAUUGAAUGAGCCGAUGUCGGAUUAGCUAGUUGGCGGGGUAAAGGCCCACCAAGGCGACGAUCCGUAGCUGGUCUGAGAGGAUGAUCAGCCACACUGGAACUGAGACACGGUCCAGACUCCUACGGGAGGCAGCAGUGGGGAAUAUUGGACAAUGGGCGCAAGCCUGAUCCAGCCAUACCGCGUGGGUGAAGAAGGCCUUCGGGUUGUAAAGCCCUUUUGUUGGGAAAGAAAAGCAGCAGGUUAAUACCCCGCUGUUCUGACGGUACCCAAAGAAUAAGCACCGGCUAACUUCGUG